rnacentral:rRNA from 2 species
CGCUUCGACCGCGACCCCAGGUCAGGCGGGACUACCCGCUGAGUUUAAGCAUAUCAAUAAGCGGAGGA